GAUGAAAACGUAGCGAAAUGCGAUAAGUAAUGUGAAUUGCAGAAUUCAGUGAAUCAUCGAAUCUUUGAACGCACAUUGCGCCCCUUGGUAUUCCGAGGGGCAUGCCUGUUCGAGCGUCAUUAUAACCCCUCAAGCUCAGCUUGGUGUUGGGGCCUGCUGCACUGGCAGCCCUUAAAAUCAGUGGCGGCGCCAUCUGGCUCUAAGCGUAGUAAUUCUUCUCGCUAUGGAGUCCUGGUGGAUGCUUGCCAUCAACCCCCAAUUUUUCUAUGGUUGACCUCGGAUCAGGUAGGGAUACCCGCUGAACUUAAGCAUAUCAAUAAGAGGAGGA
rnacentral:misc_RNA from 1 species